rnacentral:rRNA from 1 species
AUGCAAGUCGAACGAUGAAGCCCAGCUUGCUGGGUGGAUUAGUGGCGAACGGGUGAGUAACACGUGAGUAACCUGCCCUUAACUCUGGGAUAAGCCUGGGAAACUGGGUCUAAUACCGGAUAGGAGCGUCCACCGCAUGGUGGGUGUUGGAAAGAUUUAUCGGUUUUGGAUGGACUCGCGGCCUAUCAGCUUGUUGGUGAGGUAAUGGCUCACCAAGGCGACGACGGGUAGCCGGCCUGAGAGGGUGACCGGCCACACUGGGACUGAGACACGGCCCAGACUCCUACGGGAGGCAGCAGUGGGGAAUAUUGCACAAUGGGCGMAAGCCUGAUGCAGCGACGCCGCGUGAGGGAUGACGGCCUUCGGGUUGUAAACCUCUUUCAGUAGGGAAGAAGCGAAAGUGACGGUACCURCAGAAGAAGCACCGGCUAACUACGUGCCAGCAGCCGCGGUAAUACGUAGGGUGCGAGCGUUAUCCGGAAUUAUUGGGCGUAAAGAGCUCGUAGGCGGUUUGUCGCGUCUGUCGUGAAAGUCCGGGGCUUAACCCCGGAUCUGCGGUGGGUACGGGCAGACUAGAGUGCAGUAGGGGAGACUGGAAUUCCUGGUGUAGCGGUGGAAUGCGCAGAUAUCAGGAGGAACACCGAUGGCGAAGGCAGGUCUCUGGGCUGUAACUGACGCUGAGGAGCGAAAGCAUGGGGAGCGAACAGGAUUAGAUACCCUGGUAGUCCAUGCCGUAAACGUUGGGCACUAGGUGUGGGGACCAUUCCACGGUUUCCGCGCCGCAGCUAACGCAUUAAGUGCCCCGCCUGGGGAGUACGGCCGCAAGGCUAAAACUCAAAGGAAUUGACGGGGGCCCGCACAAGCGGCGGAGCAUGCGGAUUAAUUCGAUGCAACGCGAAGAACCUUACCAAGGCUUGACAUGUUCUCGAUCGCCGUAGAGAUACGGUUUCCCCUUUGGGGYGGGUUCACAGGUGGUGCAUGGUUGUCGUCAGCUCGUGUCGUGAGAUGUUGGGUUAAGUCCCGCAACGAGCGCAACCCUCGUUCAUGUUGCCAGCACGUCGUGGUGGGGACUCAUGGGAGACUGCCGGGGUCACUCGGAGGAAGGKGAGGACGACGUCAAUCAUCAUGCCCCUUAUGU